rnacentral:rRNA from 1 species
GACGAACGCUGGCGGCGUGCCUAAUACAUGCAAGUCGAACGCAGUGGGGACGGGUGAUUAACACGUGGGUAACCUCCCAUAAAAGGGGAUAACACUUGGAAACAGGUGCUAAACCGAUACUGAAGGAGGUACCCGCUUUGCAUUAGCUAGUUGGUGAGGUAACGGCUCACAAAGGCCACGAUGCAUAGCCGAGCUGAGAGGGUGAGCGGCCACACUGGGACUGAGACACGGUCCAGACUCCUACGGGAGGCAGCAGUAGGGAAUAUUAGGCAAUGGACGAAAGUCUGACCGAGCAACGCCGCGUGAGUGAAGAAGGGCUUCGGAUAGUAAAGCUCUGUUGGGAGAGAAGCGGUAUCCAAACAGAAAGCAACGGCUAACGACGUGCCAGCAGCCGCGGUAAUUC